AAAAAAAUGUCCCUCUUCAGUUUUAAAUAUUAACUGCCUUGAAUCUUGCAACACCAACAAAGUUGGUCUUCAAACUGGAGCUGUUUCUGUGAUUGCCAAUCCCCGCCACACUCCAUUCUCAUAAUUCACAAUGUAAGUUUAGAGUAGCUGGACCACAACAUGCGCCGGAGGGUUGUUCUGGCCCCUCAGACUCCGGGGGUGCACAGAAAUUGGAUGACCAACGAGGAGGUCUUUUCUUGUUAGUGAGAUUUAUUGGGUUUUUGUUCCGUUGAGAAAAUGAAUCAACAAACAUGGCAUUUCCCCCUGUGCGCAGUGGACUAAGAUGAACCCUGUAGAGUAUUGGUUUAAAUUUUGUUUGCUGCUUAGAUUUCUGGGUCACCAGCUCUGGAGGAUAUUGGGAUUUUCAUUUGGCCUUGGACACUGAUGAGGCAGCUAGUGAGGCAAACAUGUUGGAGUGGUUCAGGUCUUCAAACAUGCUGACUGGAUCCAGAUUUCCAGUGCUAGAGUUCUUUGUUGAACAACCCACAGCUGGCAGCGGUCUGACCUGGCUGAGGCAGCGGAUGGGGUGGGUGUUGAAUCUAAGGCCCCUGUGGAGAGGAUGGGAGUCCAGACCAAGCAUGGAGGCCUGGAGUAGGUCUGGCCUGACACAAACCUGUGCACAGAUCUGGAUGUCAAUGCUGCUCCAACUUCUAAGAGUCACCGCAAGUUGUAUUGUUCUGCUUUUACUCUCUGGAAACUUCUUAUUCACCUGGAAAUCACCAACAACCUCGUCGCUAAGCUGAAAUCCAUCUGACACCAGCUCAUUGCCAGAUUAGAGUAACUGUAAAGCUGUUAUUAAAGAAGAAAUCAAGAACUUCAGCGAGUUCAUUAUGCAUUACAGCCAAUGCAAACAUUACAUCA
rnacentral:lncRNA from 1 species